AACGAACGCUGGCGGCAUGCCUAACACAUGCAAGUCGAACGAGACCUUCGGGUCUAGUUGCGCACGGGUGCGUAACGCGUGGGAACCUGCCCUUAGGUUCGGAAUAACUCCCCGAAAGGGGUGCUAAUACCGGAUAAUUUCUUCGAACCAAAGAUUUAUCGCCUUUGGAUGGGCCCGCGUUGCAUUAGCUAGUUGGUAGGGUAAAAGCCUACCAAGGCUACGAUCCAUAGCUGGUCUGAGAGGAUGAUCAGCCACACUGGGACGGAGACACGGCCCGGACUCUUACGGGAGGCAGCCAUGGGGGAUAUUGGAAAAUGGGCGAAAGCCUGAUCCAGCAAGGCUUCGUGAGUGAUGAAGUCGGUAGAGUUGUAAAGCUCUUUUACCCGGGAUGAUAAUGACAGUACCGGAAGAAUAAGCACCGGCUAACUUCGUG
rnacentral:rRNA from 1 species